UUGGAGGGCAAGUCUGGUGCCAGCAGCCGCGGUAAUUCCAGCUCCAAUAGCGUAUAUUAAAGUUGUUGCAGUUAAAAAGCUCGUAGUUGAAUUUCGGGGUUAGUAGGUUGGUCAUGCCUCUGGUAUGUACUGGUCUCACUGAUUCCUCCUUCCUGAUGAACCUUAAUGCCAUUUAUUUGGUGUUUUGGGGAAUUUGGACUGUUACUUUGAAAAAAUUAGAGUGUUUAAAGCAAGCUAACGCUUGAAUACAUUAGCAUGGAAUAAUGAAAUAGGACGUUCGAUCCUAUUUUGUUGGUUUCUAGGAUUGACGUAAUGAUUAAUAGGGAUAGUUGGGGGCAUUAGUAUUCAAUUGUCAGAGGUGAAAUUCUUGGAUUUAUUGAAGACUAACUACUGCGAAAGCAUUUGCCAAGGAUGUUUUCAUUAGUCAAGAACGAAAGCUAGGGGAUCGAAGACGAUCAGAUACCGUCGUAGUCUUAACCAUAAACUAUGCCGACUAGGGAUCGGAUGAUGUUAAUUUUUUAAUGACUCAUUCGGCGCCUUACGGGAAAC
rnacentral:rRNA from 1 species